AUUGAACGCUGGCGGCAGGCCUAACACAUGCAAGUCGAACGGUAGCACAGAGAGCUUGCUCUCGGGUGACGAGUGGCGGACGGGUGAGUAAUGUCUGGGAAACUGCCUGAUGGAGGGGGAUAACUACUGGAAACGGUAGCUAAUACCGCAUAAUGUCGCAAGACCGAAGAGGGGGACCUUCGGGCCUCUUGCCAUCAGAUGUGCCCAGAUGGGAUUAGCUAGUAGGUGGGGUAAUGGCUCACCUAGGCGACGAUCCCUAGCUGGUCUGAGAGGAUGACCAGCCACACUGGAACUGAGACACGGUCCAGACUCCUACGGGAGGCAGCAGUGGGGAAUAUUGCACAAUGGGCGCAAGCCUGAUGCAGCCAUGCCGCGUGUAUGAAGAAGGCCUCCGGGUUGUAAAGUACUUUCAGCGGGGAGGAAGGCGGUGAGGUUAAUAACCUCGCCGAUUGACGUUACCCGCAGAAGAAGCACCGGCUAACUCCGUGCCAGCAGCCGCGGUAA
rnacentral:rRNA from 1 species